UUGUCGAAAUGCCAAAUCUUUUCCUCGUCAUACUGAAAAUUCCAUACCGCAAGGUUGGUCCAGCAUUCAACUGUAAAGCUGUCAAGAUGAUCGAAUGUGCCCGCACCAAGCUCGACCCAGCGGU
rnacentral:rRNA from 1 species